CACUAUAAUUGUUGGUAAAUUGCAUUCAGCAUAGAAUUAUAGACAUUUAAACACCAUCUGAAAGGAAAGUAUGUUCCCAAGGGAUUCAUCUGACAUCAUAACCUAUGGAAGAGAAGGCUUAGCAAGUUAUGAAUGUCAGAAGAACAAAAAGAUCCCAACUUCUGAGUAUGAUUAGUCACAUACCACUAAUAGUUUAACAGUUGCACUGUACUGCUAUCAAUUUCUUAUUGCUUGCCUCAAAUUAAUUUGAUGGCUACUCAUUUGUCAUUAAUUGCACAGCGAGCCUCGGAGGGACUUGAGAGCAUGGAGGUCAGUUCACAGAGUGGACCCAGCACUUUGCAGCACUGUGAUUAAAAGUGAAGGACAUCUAUCACUCUGCAGAUUGCUCUGCCACACACCGUUGUGAUUUAUAAAGACCCAUCACCACAUCCAAGUGCCAGUCUUGUUCAAGGAGCAAGCAUCGUUCAGUGGUGCUACACCACUUACUGAAGCCUUGGAUUCCACACUAGAUUUGAAGGACCCAGGCUAUAAGAAAGAAACGGCAAGAGAUUUCAAGUCUACAAAUACGAUGGCAGAAGUGGAAUAUUUGUGUAUUACUCUGGCACAUUCAUUAAAAAUAUAUUUUAACCCCAAAGGAUUAUUUUUUAAUUACACCAAAGUAAAUUGCAAUUACGUUAAGGAGAAGAAAAGGUUGGACAAGACAUACAUUUUGUCAGGAUCUGAAUCUAGCAGAGCCAAACUUUUGCACAUAAAGAUCAUAUAAGCAAGUUUAAAUUGAGAAGUGCUCCUCAGGUGUGCAGUGCUGCCCAGCCCAGUGGCAGGUAGGUGAGCUCUCUCCAGGAUCUCCCUCCAUCAGACCUCUGCUUGUUUCUUUUGCACCCCAGAGCAUAAGACCUGCACAGCAGCCAUUGCGCUGCACCUCCCAAGAAGGAAGGAAGGAUCCUUCCCAGAGGUUCUCUACUGCAAUAUGGAAAGGGAUAGAAUUCUUUUGUAUGUGAGCUGCUGUUUCCCCUCCCUGGUGUACUUUGAGCCCAGGUCGUGUACUGGGGCUAGUUUGUGUUUUACGGUAUUUCAACCUAACAUUUUUCAAUAUUAUUUUAAUAUUCUCUCCCUUCCUACUGUGAGGUUUGUAGAUCUAUUCAUCUGAACCAGGUUUCAUGGCAAAAUGUAAGCUUGGCAAAGAUAGCAAGGGGCAAUUGGAAUUUCAAAAAAAGUAGGGAAGAUUUUUUGCUGAUCCUCAAAAAUGCGGCCUGUCAGCUUACUGUUUUAAAGGAGGAAUUUUCCACUGGUAAAGUGACCUAAAAACACAGGGCUUGAUUCUGCUGGUGCUCCGCCUCACCCUUUCCUAAGUCUGUCAGACUCAUCUCUAAACUUCCUUAACCUCAGGUUCGGUUUGAAUAUUGGUCUAUACUUCCUUUCUUUAUUCUGUUAUUUCUGUGUUUACAAUCAAACACGCAGAAAGCACCCAGCAUAGAUUCUUCAGUGGUUUCCAACACCUCUGUGGAGGAUUACCCCAAAACUUAGGUCUUGGAUUUCUUUUCACAAAUGAGAAAUUGCUAAUGCAGGAAGGGAAACCUAUUUCCUUCUCCCAAACUACUGCAAGGACAACCUCCUGCUAUAAGAGGUUUGUUUGAACUUUUUGAAAUCCAUCAUUAGUAGUAAGUUACUCACAAAAACUUGUUUUCAAGGCUUUGUGAAUGAAGAUAUUAAUGAAGAAAUAUCUUUCUCUUCCAGGAGUGUUUCAGGUCUCCUGCAAACUCAAUAACACUCCUAGCAAGUGGCUUCCCGCGACCCCUCUUACAUUUUAACUCUGAGAUCAAGUUUUCUUCCAUGUUAAAAUACCAGUGAAAACACUUACAGACAACUGCUGGCCUAUAGUGUGGUCACUGCAGUUCUCCCCAGAGCAACCCUCAUGUGAAGGCCCUUUCUUUGCCCACUAGCAGAAACAUGGAGCUGGCUCCAGUCAAACCUGGAGGGCUUGAUUUGUCCUCAGGAAGCAUGGCUGGCCUCGGGGCAUGCUGGAAAGCAUCAGGAGCACCUGUUCAAUUAACAUGGCACAGGGGAAAUAUUUUCCCCAUUGCAAUCACAGAAUAAUCUGGAUAAAUCAAAGACAUUCUAAGAAAAAGAACAAAGAAAAGUAUGCAUUACAUGCUGAGAAGAAAAGCAGCUAUUGAAAAGGCAGUAGGUGAUGUAAUGCCCUAAAGUCAUGAGGGGACAGAGGGGUGCCAGUGGGUACAUUUACAUUGGAUGUUGCUUCAUCUCUGAGGAAGCUGUUGCUCUUAAGGGAUCGGCAGCACUUCUAGUGCUUGGCAUGCUGACCUAAAUCAAACUGACUGGAGAAAUGAAUUUGCUUUAGCUUGGGUCGGGAAAAGGGACACAUUUUUUAUAUGGCAAAUCUCUUCGGGGAUCUGAAUUAUCUGCCUUUCCUUGCAGUCGUAAGAAAGAUAUGUUCAUCUUCUGAAUCUGAGCAUGGUUAGUGGCUCCUGGGGGAAGGAAAAAGAUGUUAUCCUGGUUGCCUGGCUAGUAUUUUAGGAGUCCCUGGGGCUGUUCCAUUUUUGUGUAUCCUCAAGAGAGAAACCGUCACGUGCAAGCACAAGCGAAUCAGUCAAAGACACUGCUCGGAAGGAGGUGAACAUUGUAAAUGAUCCUGUCAUCAUCACGAAUAGGUCCUAGAGCAGAUUGCACCAGGAAGAUGUAAACACUACAGCUUGCAGAAGGAAACAGCCAUGAAGCAAUCAUAGAAUACACACACGACACUAAUUCUAAAAUGGGAGUAAUAACACAGCAGGAGAAAAAGUGAAAAUUUCAGUAUUUCUUCUAAAGAAAUAUUUAAAGUAAAGGAAAAAUGAGAUUCAGAAGUAAGGAGAUUCAGAAGUGUCUGAGAAGUGUCUUUCAAUUGCGAUAAGACGAAAGAUUAUAGCUAUACCUGCAGGGGAGAUGUAAAACUUACUUAGCAAAGUAUAUUAUUCAAAAUUUGCUUUCUAGAACAGUUGUGUUUUUUAAUCUCUCCUAUUUCAAGACUUUCUGUAAAUAAAUUGAGAGCAAGUUUUGUUUAAAAACAAUGUUUCAGUGGGAUAUUAUUGUAAGGGUUUGAUUUUAGUGAUAUAGGGAAUAAUUAAAAAAUAAAAACAGAACAAUCUCUUGUUCUAAAUAGACCUAAUAAUUUCAAAAUAUGGUUUUCCUAUUCACCUCUCUGCCCCACCCUCCAGUUUUGAUAUCAGCGACAUAUUUGCAAAUAUUUUUGAGACUUCAGUGAAGUCACAUCCUCUGGUCAAAGCUAAGGUUUCCAGACUUUCCAGUUGCUCAUCUGUCCACAGCAGUAACCAGACAUACAUAGACUGCUCACUUUCAAUCUCCUCUAACUAAAAUACAAUCAAUACCUCAUCAUCCUUUCUUCUGAACAGUAGCCCACAGGUUAUUUAGCUUUAAAAUACCACUAUUGAGACUGUCACUGUUGAAGGGAAUGACAGGAUUGUCCUGCACUAAUGUGAUUCUGCUCCUAAUGCGAUGGCCUGUAGAAACAGGUUGCCUCCAUCUUUUGUGCUAUAUUCAAACUGCAUUCGAGCCUUUAUCAAUUCCUCUUUGUGAUCUGCAAUUUUUUAUUUUCUUAUUGGAACUGAAGCUAAAUACUCCCUUGAUAAUCUCUUAUUGAAAAUCUCAAACUGCUACUCAGGCACUCACCUUUAAGAACAUCUCCUAAUGUGAUCUACAAAAUAUAUCUACAGAUGAAUGUCAAUCAUUAAUUAAAUCAUUUCAAAAUUGAUAUUCACUAUUAGAGAUGGCUUCCUUUAUUCUGUUUCUGAAAGUUUUCUGACAUUUUCCUCCAUUAAAUUCUAAGUGUUAAUUGUCUUGGGAUAGGAAUUGUUAGCACUCAGAGUGUGUAUUGUUGACAAGGGCAGGCCACCCCUUCUGAGUGGCUUACUCUUAUAACUAUUCUAGAGUUUGAGAGCAGGAAGGAAUUUCAGACAUUUACUCCUGCUUAAUCUGAUUUAAACUUCGUUUUUACUACAGACCAAUCUUAUAGUGCUCCAUCUCCAAAGAGCCAGAGCUGCUGAAGUUCAGUGCUAUUAUGCUUUCUGGUGAUUUCUAUGUUCUCCAAAACAGCUUUCUCUGGUAAUGACCUCUGUGCUCAGAUUUUCUUGUCCAUAACAUAACAUACGCUUGUUAAUCUAUGCAGCUCUGAAGCACAAUCUCAUGCACAGACCUCAAAGUUUACAUGACAAUGUUAACAUACUUUGCAAAGCUGUUGGCAACUGCCAGAUACUUUUCAUUUAUACUGAAAUCUGAGAAAAACAUAAUUAGCACCUCAUACUAAGAACUAAACAGCAUGUCAGCAAGCCAGGAAGUUGCUAAACACAACUUCCUCCAAUUAAAUUUUCCUGAAAAACCUAGAUGUAGCUAUAAAUUCAGAACAGGCUGCUGUUAGCAGCCAUGCAGCACUGUCAUGCUUAAACUCCAUACCCUAACAUUAUCACUUACUCUUCAAAUACAGCCUUUCAGAUGCUCAUAUUAUGUCAGCAAAUGUUGUUUGGAGUGAGAGGUCUUUGCUAAAAUAAACUAAACAUCACUCAGAACAAAAGCAUGCAAGCUGCUGAGAAACUUAUAAUUCUGGAGUCAGUUGUCCAUGUUACUGCUCAGUUAAAAAUGUAGUGUCAUCGUCAUUUUGUUGCUAAGUGAAAAACAGCUUUUAGAAAUAAAAUUCCCUUAAUGGAGAUAAAGUUUUUAAUUUAUUUUUUUAAGUGAACUCAUAUGUCAUCAAAUGUGGAUUCCUCACUUUCUGGAGCCUGCUGCAUGCUGUGAAGGCCACUGGAGCAUGGAUCCCUGGCUUCCCCCAUUCCUGGUGCUGUCUCAGGUCUGCUGAAUUAGGGUGGGGGGGACUGAGAAUGCAAAUUGCUUACCCCUGAUCUAAACCAGAGGAGUUUCAACCACCAGAGGCCUUAAUCCUGCCACAUGCUAUUCAGAGCUGUUUCUAGUGUAUUACAGCUUGGGCACACCCCAUCUUCUUUGGUAUUUAUCCUGAGAAAUGGAGUCUAAUCUACUAUCUGAUCUGCUUUCUUCUCUCAACCUUCAUCACCCCAUUCCCCUCUGUUUGCUUUUUCUCCCUGCAUGAGUCUCUUUCUCCUGAUACAAUUUAUUACAUUGCUCUAAUUGUAUUUAGCCGUUGGUGUCCAUAUAUUGGUCCUUUUCUCAUAGUGCCCCUUUAUGUUACAUUAUAACAGCUUUUAGGUAUUUUUUGUGUAUUCAGUUCCACAAAUAUUGUUAAUAAAUAUUUAAGGGCACACAUACAUACACUGAAAUCUGGGAGAAGCCAAAGGAACUGCUUUCUAGAAGUACACUGGACAGCUGACUAUUUUCUUUGGCUUAGUGCCUAAUGGUGCCCUCAGUUAUACCACAGUAGGAUUAUAGUGCAACUGCUUUCAGGCAUGGCAACUGCACUGGCAAUGGCUUGCACAUCUGCAGAAACUGGCAGGUGAAAUAAAUAAGAGAAAUGUCCCGAACAUGAACUUCCAUUACCAUUAAAUUCAACAAUUUCUGUGGGUAUCUAGGUACACCUGAUAGCACAGUGCAGCUCAGCAGUGAUUGCAAAGAAUUGUCUGUCGGCAGUCUGUGCAAAGGCUGAAGAAGGAUUUUUCAUUUCAUGCAUCAUUUGCAACUACCUUCAACAAUUCAGCAAAGUCAAUACGCACCUUUGAUGCAAAGUUAAGAAAAAAACUCUGAAGCAAACAGACAAAAGCAAGUAAUCCAGAGUGACAAAGCACAGUUAAAUCUUUCUCCACUUUACCCUCUUCUUGCCACAUGCUUCUUGAAAGUAUCUAUCAUUACAUACUUCUUUCUGCAUGAAGUUCACUCAUCACAGAAACACCCUGAAAUGCAUACACAUGCAACUCAUGCACAUUCACUUCACGCAGCUUCAAGGGAUUUUGUAGUGUCUGUUUCCUCAGAUGUUUCAGGGUUCAAAUUGCUCAUCCCCCUGUGGUAUAGACUAGAGGACAGUCUUGGAGUCUUUAAUCCCCAACAGUAGGAAGAAAAACUCAUCAGGAUACGUUUCAUUACCAUGAACUCUGCCCCUCUGAGAUAGCAGUCAGGACAAGGAUGGGAUAAUACAAGAGCCAGAUGUCACUGCAGAAAGGCAUAGUCCACAGUCUGAGGUAAAACUGACAUCCUAACAUUGACCAGAUCUCCAAAUUUGCAACAUAUCCCUUUUUCCUCAUGUGACAAAUUCUUGAGUUUGGAAAAAAAGGCCAGUGAGCUCAAACACAGAGAUAUGGCUAGAGAACAGCAAACGUUUCAGACUUGAAAAGGGAGAAUAAUGAAAAUGACAAGUAAUGGCAGAAACCCCACAGAAUACCUGUAGAGAAGAGGAGUAUUUGGGGCACAAAAGGUAGUGAGCUCAUCAGGUUGAUAAUCUCCAACUUUUCCUAACAGUGCCUUACUUACGAAGCAGAAGAGUUGUUCUAGGGGUUGGACAACUGGGGUAGGACGUAUGUUCCCAUGUUUCUAGAUCAUUGUGACCAAAUUUAUGUGAUAAUGCAUACGAUGUGCAAAAGGAACAGUUUCUUUCGCCCCUCCAUUACACUUGGAUGUGUCACCAGAAUGGGAAUGCCAGACAACAUGGGAAAUAAUGCAAUGAAACAGUCACAAAAGCCACCUCUGUGGACAAAAGAGUAAAUUUUCUUACUGAUCAAAACACUCCUUAAUUAUAAACAGCUUUCAUUCUCUACGCAGUUUACACACUGGUUAUAAAACAAGUUCAUAGCAGACUUCUCUAUAAAGUAGAAGACAUUCACUGCUUGGGGAAAUAAAAGGGAAAGCCUUGAUUAAUCACUCCAUGUAAAAGGCAUGCUGGACUGAGACUGCUUGAGAAAGGGCUCUUGGAGAAAAGCACGGGCAGUGUUCUGGGGGUUAAUGUGUAUUUUUUUAAAUUCAAGUUCUCUCUCAAGAGAGGUCUUCUUUUCUGAAAAGAAAUCCUUCUGCUUCUGCUCUGUCCUCCUGCUUCAGCUGAACACAAACACAUUUCAUGUCCUUUCCUGCCUAGUGGGAUGCUGAGAAGAUGUGGUCUCUGAAUUGGUAUACGUUUCAGCUGGUCCACAUUACAAGCAAAAUUUAUGACACAUGCCAAUGCCUCCACUAGCUGAUUGGAUACAGCCAGGGAAAUGGAGAAAGCCUCAACUCACUGAGCUUCAGAAAAUGAACUUCACUUAAAUGAUGUAUUGUUGUUUUGCAGCAAAAAGGAACACCUGGUUUGUACAGCGGGGAAAAAGAACAAAAACGUAACAUUCAAAAAAAAUGACCAAAAUGGGACUGGAAAAUAUGCUUAUUUUUGCCUGCACAUGAGAGAAUAAACCACAAAACAGUGUUUGCACUUAUAAUCUGGUAUAUCUGUUGCGUUUGUUUGAUGUGACUGCAUUGGUAUGUCCACUAAUUCAGCUUUUACCUACAUUAACAUCUUCUGUACUUUACAGAACAGACUUCGACUGAUGCUUCCCAUGUCACUUGGAAGAUGUGCUAGGAAAUUAUUAUUACUUUUCCUACAACACCAGAUAAUUACUUCUUCAGACAUAAAAGGCAUUUACAUUGUAUGAGUGAGGUUUUGUUUUUGCUUAUCCCAUUGUACAUCUUCAGUGCAGAUGCAGUGGAUAUGUUCUGAAAAAAAAACAAGAAUAGAACUGACUCUUACAAAAGUCUGUUUUUCUAAUGUAACCUCAAUGCAAAAUGAGUUUUCAAGCAUUAGAGUUUGGAAUGCUGGAUAUGGAACAUGCAUUGCAUUCAGCUAAAAUAAGAGAAAACCCAAAGUGGGCAGAGAGAAGCAGGGAGGUUGCAGAGAAGGAAAGAGAGUGAAUGGCUGGAGAAGACUCAGAGGUAAUCCUUUACAUAUUGAGCUACAACAAAGAAUGUUGAAUGCAAAGUUUGCAUGUGUACCUGCAAGAUAGAUAAGAUCUAUAGUUUGGUAUACAUACAUAAGUAAUGUACAUACACCAAGGGAUACAUUUUUAACAAAAGGAUAUAAAAUGCUGCAAUACACACUAAUUUGGUUUCUAAGUGAUACGGGAAAAAACCCAAAACACUGCAGUAGAUUCAACAUGAAGAUAUAGAUACCAUAGCAUUUGUCAAAGCCAGAUCAGCCCUUUUCCAUUAAAUAAACAAACACAGCUGACUGACUCUUAUUUACAUGCGGACUUUUGCACUCCACACUGCAGAGUAAAAAAUUGAGUAAUUUUAAUGCUCGAUAAGGGUGUUAAGUGAUCUUAGCACAAAUAUCAGUGAGGUUCCCAGGAGUGCAGAGGUGCCUUAUGGCUGUCCAUCAUGAGUGUGUAAAUAAACUGUGCUGGCAUCUGAGCACUGGUGUAGAGCUACUGCCAGGGAGCGUUAAUAGAGUGAGUGUCAGACAAUCCUAACUGUUUAUGAACAGCUCUCUAACUGGUCAGGCAGUAUUAAUAUAGUCACAGUAUCCUCAUCCUCAAUGAGAAAACAUGAUGCCCAUUUUGGUCUGUAUUGCUCUUGGAGAUCUCAUUUGAGCCUUUGUUCUUGGGGAGCACAAUCCAAUCUGUGGAACAUCUUUGAAAGAGUAAUUUCUUGCUGGUAAGUGCUGCUCCCAGAAGAAAUGUACUCUGAAUUGAAUAGUACUCAGCCACCCGUCCCUCCACAGAGUAGGAGAGUUGGAG